AGAAGUAGAGGAGCUGCGUUUCAAUUGUUUGGCGCGCAGGUGGUUGACUGUGAGUAGAAGAACAAUCUCUGGUCUUGCCAUUCUUUUUCGUCAAUAAAAAAGAAACAUGGCUCCUGUGGCAAACUACAUCUAAAGAAUUUCUUCUGCCUCACUGCUCUCUGUAGAAAUAUCAUAGACAGUAUGGCACGGUCACCAUAAAAAAAAACCUUCUGAAUGAACUGACAGACAAAUUACCAAGGAGAAAUUUUGCUCUCCACAAGGUCUGUCCUCAACAUCACGAGCAGGUCUCAUUUUUGAGCCACUAUUGCUCUCUGAAGUUUCCUGAUAAAGAAAAGUAAAAA